UCUCCUCCUCCUCCUCCUCUUCUUCUUCUUCUUCUUCUUCUCUCAGCAGCCCAUGGCAAGGCACCAGACCCAACCACCAUCGGCCACCAUUUUUGACGCACGACAGCUCAUCGGUUUCGCCUUGCUUCGGCGACCUUAACUACCAAGCGGCACCACCCAACUCGCCGUCAAUCGUUCGGAAUCGCCAGUCAAAGUUUUGGUCCGUCAACUUUGACUGUGUUUUUCGGCCAACUCCAACCACCUCUUGAUGAGUGGUUGAUACCCUUGGAACCAGCAUGGAGAGAUGAACAAAACCCACUAAUUCAUUUCGGUCAACUCGCCGUUUUUCUCUGGCAAGAUUUUGGGUAUCUCCGCCCUUUGGAAGCAUUUUCCGGCGACACCGGAGGUCAUUUGGGCGAAGGAGCUGUACUUUCAUGAUGUACUCAUCGAAGAUGAUCGUUUUGAUAUAUGCCAUGCAUAUAUUCGUCGACGUUUCCAGUACUGCCGCCAACCGCUAUAGUGCAUUGCUUGGGAAUAACGUGAUAUUAAAAUCGAACUAAAUCAUUCUAAGAUCAUCGUUAAGCUUAGGAGCGUCGCUUUGGGCUCGGAUUAAAUUCUAAAGAGGAGCCCAGUGACGCGAACGUGGAAAAGAUGAAUUAUCGAUGGAGCUAAUGUGUUUAGCCUAUUUCUAUUUCGUGUCAUUGUCUUAUCUUUUGAGCAUUGUUUAUGUAUUCGACUUCGAAUCUAAUGAGCGAUAUAUCUAAAUGAGCUAUGAAAUAGUUAGGGAUGAGGAAUGGUGGAUGCUAAGUUAUAUUUUGGGUGUUUGUGACUUAUUAAAUUUAACUAUUUGGUGAUUACAUAA